GGUUGCGUGAUGGAGUUGGUCACCAUACCUGUUUAACAGUAGAUUCUUCUAUCUAAGUUCACAGGAGGUCGGCGGUUCGAUCCCGCCCGGAAUCA